rnacentral:rRNA from 1 species
CCUACGGGUGGCAGCAGUAGGGAAUCUUCCACAAUGGGCGAAAGCCUGAUGGAGCAACGCCGCGUGGGUGAAGAAGGUCUUCGGAUCGUAAAACCCUGUUGGUAGAGAAGAAAGUGCGUGAGAGUAACUGUUCACGUUUCGACGGUAUCUAACCAGAAAGCCACGGCUAACUACGUGCCAGCAGCCGCGGUAAUACGUAGGUGGCAAUAUUUAUCCGGAUUUAUUGGGCGUAAAGGGAGCGCAGGCGGUCUGUUAAGUCUGAUGUGAAAGCCGUGGGCUUAACCGGAGUAGUGCAUUGGAAACUGGGCGACUUGAGUGCAGAAGAGGUGAGUGGAAGUCGUGGUGUAGCGGUGAAAUGCGUAGAUAUAUGGAAGAACACCAGUGGCGAAGGCGGCUCUCUGGUCUGUAACUGACGCUGAGGUUCGAAAGCGUGGGUAGCAAACAGGAUUAGAUACCCGAGUAGUC